rnacentral:misc_RNA from 1 species
GAUGAAGAACGUAGCGAAAUGCGAUAAGUAAUGUGAAUUGCAGAAUUCAGUGAAUCAUCGAAUCUUUGAACGCACAUUGCGCCCUCUGGUAUUCCGGGGGGCAUGCCUGUUCGAGCGUCAUUACAACCCUCAAGCUUUGCUUGGUAUUGGUCAUUGCCAGUUUCUGGCAGGUCUUAAAAUCAGUGGCGGUGCCAUUUGGCUUCAAGCGUAGUAAUUCUUCUCGCUUUGGAGAUCCAAGUGGUUACUUGCCAAUAACCCCCAAUUUUUUCAGGUUGACCUCGGAUCAGGUAGGGAUACCCGCUGAACUUAAGCAUAUCAAUAAGCGGAGGA